rnacentral:tRNA from 1 species
UCUUUUGUAGGUUAUGUUAUUUAAACCCCCGAUUUGUGGUGUCGGUAAAUCUUUGUUAUUAGGCGAA